rnacentral:lncRNA from 12 species
GGGGGGGGGGGGGGGGGGGGGGGGGGGGGGGGGGGGGGGGGGGGGGGGGGGGGGGGGGGGGGGGGGGGGGGGGGGGGGGGGGGGGGGGGGGGGGGCUGAGGGCCCCGUGCCCGGGGCUGGCAGCGCCCCAGCAAACGCGGGCAACCGGGACCGGCGCUUCCCAGGCCGUGAAGCUACAUGUAACCCUACACUGACACAUGUAAAGCUACAUGUAACCCUACCCCAAAGAUACAGAUUUUACUGGCGGCGGAGGGAAAUACGGGGCGGGACUAGAAAAGGAGACCUCUGUAAUGACCUUAAUGUGAAUAAAGUAAUGGUGAUAGCAGAAGCAGCAAGUAAUUAACUCGACAAAGAGACAAAUGUGCAGGACCUGUGAGGAGGGGGUGGAAAAAUGGAAACAUACUGAGCAAAGAAAGUAGAAAGAAGCCACUGGAAGAGGAAAAUAUAAGCCAGUUAUAAGAAGGAGUUCUGCAAGGAAAGAGGUCAGCCAAGAAGGAAAAGAAAGGAAAUUUUUUUAAGGACUUAUAAUUCUGGACAACCUUGUAAUGAUUUGCUGGCAAUGUAAUAACCUGUGUGGAUGCUUCACUAUUAUCAGAUGUGCUGGUAUAUCUUCUGGGAAGGAGGAAGAGAAGAAGGAAAUUGAAAUUGUCCUACUGAGCUUCGCAAAAACAUGUCACUUACCUCCCAUGAAGUCAAUUUGACUAUUUCAGCAUGAAAAGAAGAGAGAAAACCAAGGUGGCUG